AAAACCAUCAACCCCUAUACAUUACAAGGAAGGAAAAAAGAGUAAAAGAGGGAGAGAGAGAGAGAUGUAGAACUGGUCCUGUGGAGAGACAAGCACAUUCUCACCUUUAAUGUGCUGAACCAGUGCGCUGCCAUAGUCUUCAACGGGCCCAGAUACCAAUAUCUGAAAAGGGGGAAAAAAGACGGUCAUUCUCAGGUCUUACUACACUCUGGUGAAUGGUCAUUCUCAGGUCUUACUUGCUGAUGGAGGAGGCCACAUCUCUGAAAGCCCCCCAGCGCAGUCCUAUCAGGGCAAACACCGGCUGCUCCUUCUCCCCCUGUGCACACACACAGACACAGACCAAACACAAACUCUUCCAUCAAACUGUCACAUCGCAGAAGCACAGCAUCAUUCCUCCACUGUGGAUUUAGCUCAUCCCCACAAUUCCUUGCAACUGCUGUAAUGGCCUUAUCUUAGUUAGGUUCAGUGUCAAACUUGUUCUUCUCACACAGACUCAUUGAGAGGGUGUCUCGGGACAGUGGGAAGUCUGGAGUCAUCGGCUUUGGCAAACGGAAGUUUCCUGGAGAUGGGGAGUGGCUUCGCCCCUCAGACUCACCUUGACCUGCAGCACAUCCAGCGGCACCGUUUUCCCCUUAAGGAUUGCCAGCGUCGCUCCGGUGAUGUGUCUGACAACACCACAAAAAACAAGUCUGAGUGUCGUGAGAAGGGGGCAGGUAUUGAUGAGAAAAGUGUGUGUGUGUGUCCGUGUGAGCUCAUAGGUGCAAGACACUUCUGGCAUCUGAGCAGAACGGUUUCUGUGGGGCACACGCAAGAUACUCACUUAACUUUAUUUUCAGUCUGGAAAUGCAGACUCUGGCUCAAGGAAUUCUGGGAACCCAGAGGGAUGAAGCCAAUGGGAGUGCUACUGUACGAAUCCUGCAUUUGAGCAACGCCCACAAAGCCAGUAUUAAUAUCCCACAUGCUCAUGCUUUUUAAUGAAUGAGUGUGCUGCGCUACACAGAUUUCAAAGACAACAUUUCUGAUAACCAAAAUGUCUUCCGGAGUCUUAACUUACCUGAUCAGUUCUACGCAGCAAUCCUGUGACCACCUGCAUAGAGGGACAAACAGAGGGAGGGUCAGUGUGCUUACCCAUAUCUGAGCACCAAUACAGAUCUAGAGUCAGUGGGGAAAUGCUAAACUUGGGGUAUAUACAGAUUUAAACAUGCUUUCUGAAAAGUAACUUUUAUUUUAAAACAAGGGCACGGUGUCAUUGAUGUGACACCGUUCAGCUACUUCAGGGCUAAAAGCUUUCCCUUGUGGAGGAUCUUCAGCCUGGUAAAUGUGAGUUACAAGCCAGGUCCAUGAGGUCAGUCCUACAUCCAAGAAUAUGGUCAUUAUAACAUUUAAAUACUCAUUAUAAAUCAUUCUGGAAGUCCCUGAAUAUAAUUAUAUAUAUUUUUUUUUUUUUUGCAUAACAUUUGCAUUUCAGCAUACAUUUACUUUGGAAGUGAUACGUUUCAGUACUUUAAAAUGUUUUUACUUAUAAGGGUCCAUAUUAAAAUAUAAAACACAUAUACUUCCUUUGGAGUAUAUUUAUUUGAAUACUCUGAAUUACAUUGCAAAUUGUUUG